rnacentral:rRNA from 1 species
UACGUAGGGUGCAAGCGUUGUCCGGAAUUAUUGGGCGUAAAGAGCUCGUAGGCGGUUUGUUGCGUCGGCUGUGAAAUCCCGAGGCUCAACCUCGGGUCUGCAGUCGAUACGAGCAAACUAGAGUGUUGCAGGGGAGACUGGAAUUCCUGGUGUAGCGGUAAAAUGCGCAGAUAUCAGGAGGAACACCGGUGGCGAAGGCGGGUCUCUGGGCAACAACUGACGCUGAGGAGCGAAAGCGUGGGGAGCAAACAGG